UGUCCGGUUAGUCUAGCGGUUAAGACACUGCGCUUUCAAUGCAGUAACAUGGGUUCAAUUCCCGUACCGGAUGU
rnacentral:tRNA from 1 species